rnacentral:rRNA from 1 species
UACGUAGGUCCCGAGCGUUGUCCGGAUUUAUUGGGCGUAAAGCGAGCGCAGGUGGUUUAUUAAGUCUGGUGUAAAAGGCAGUGGCUCAACCAUUGUAUGCAUUGGAAACUGGUAGACUUGAGUGUAGGAGAGGAGAGUGGAAUUCCAUGUGUAGCGGUGAAAUGCGUAGAUAUAUGGAGGAACACCAGUAGCGAAGGCGGCCAUCUGGCUGGUAACUGACGCUGAGGUGCGAGAGCGUGGGGAGCAAACAGG